GUGUCAGUAUUACAGCCCAGCUCCUCCUCAUUUUCCCUGACGUUCGCUGGCAGCGCAGGAGGUUGUUCAAGAUGGCGAGCAGAGCCAUGUCCGCGGCAUUGAGCAGGGCAGUAAUGAUCCAGGCCUGCGGGCCCAGCGUCCUGCUGGUCAGGGGCCUCUCUGCCUCCAGUUCCAAAGCCAGAGAAGACAGUUGGCUGAGAUCACUGUUCGUGCGUAAAGUAGAUCCUCGUAAAGAUGCUCAUUCGAACCUACUGGCCAAGAGAGAGACCAGCAACCUCUACAAGAUACAAUUUCACAAUGUAAAACCAGAAUGCCUUGAAGCCUACAACAAGCUCUGUGAGGAGGUACUGCCAAAGGUCUAUGGAGGAGGGGAAUAUCCGUGUACAUUGGUGGGCACUUGGAAUACAUGGUAUGGCGAACAAGAUCAGGCAGUUCACUUGUGGCGGUAUGAAGGAGGAUAUCCAGCACUCACAGAGGUGAUGAAUAAACUUCGGAAAAACAAGGAAUUUGCAGAGUUUCGCAAAGAACGGAGCAGUAUGUUGCUAUCCCGUAAAAAUCAGCUACUACUUGAAUUCAGCUUCUGGAAUGAGCCUGUCCCUAGACCAGGGCCAAAUAUUUAUGAGCUGAGAUCUUACCUACUUAGGCCUGGAACCAUGAUUGAAUGGGGUAACCACUGGGCUCGUGCAAUUCGAUAUCGGCAGGACGGUAGUGAAGCUGUAGCUGGAUUUUUCUCGCAGAUUGGACAGCUAUACAUGGUCCACCAUUUGUGGGCAUACAGUGAUCUGCAGUCCAGGGAUGACAUAAGGAACUCGGCCUGGCAGAAAGAUGGCUGGGAUGAAUGUGUCUACUACACAGUCCCUCUCAUACAGGAGAUGGACUCCAGGAUUAUGAUCCCAUUGAAGAUUUCUCCACUCAAGUAAUGCACACAGUGUCUAUACCCACAUUUCAAAGAGUGGCAAACCUUUCGGUCAAUGACGUCAUCGAUGAAUGAUCACAUUUGGGCUCCACGUGGAUAAUUCAGAACAUAGCUAUUCCUAUGGGCAAUUCAUGGAUUGUUUUAAUCUCCCUAAGAAUAUUGAUUUGGGUAUACUCCCUCCUGUAAUUAUGGUCUGGUAAGCAUUGCUUAGCAAAGUGGUGGUGAUAACUUACUGAGUAGGUUGACCUUGUGUGACGCCACCUUUAUGCUGCACAUGUUAUGUGCAGCCCUCUGAAGUAGUCAGUAGGCAUUUGAGUCUCCCACAAUGUGCUAGGCCAAUGACGCCCAACCUGCAGCCCUCCAGCUGUUAGAAAACUACAACUCCCACGAUGGCCUACUGUAGGCUGAUCGCUGUAAGCUGUCCGGGCAUGCUGGGAGUUGUAGUUUUGCAACAGCUGGAGGGCCGCAGGUUAAGCAUUCCUAUGCUAGGCUGUCUACCACUGGCCUAGCACUGUACACUGUGGUACUAGCGCUAUAUUAUGGUGCAGCUUCCCAGUAUUCACAGCUGUGAGAGCCAGUGCAUAGGAAUUCUAUGGCCAGGGUCAAAUCUGCGGCAGAGGUUCCGUUAUUAGAUUGUGGCAAAAAUGCAGGACAAAAUGCCGCAACAGACUGCCUCACUCAGGUACAUGGGGGGAGCUUUACAAAGCUGUUCCAUUCAAAAUUACAUGUUUGGUAGAAUAUGAUGGUUCACAACCUUCCUGAAACAUUGAGAUCUGAUAUUGGCAAGCCAUAGGUUAACUGGAUUCCAACCUGGCUAGUAGGAGGUGGCUUAUGAAGGACAAACUCACAAAGGAAUGAUGGAUAACAGACUCCAGUAUGUUUAUGUCCACUGAUGCUCUACACAAAAAAUAAAAUGUAAUUUUUGGGGUAAAUUGCCAUAAAAUAACUAGAUGUAUUAUACUGUAUUGCGUUGUACACAGAAUAACCACACAUAAAUAAAUAUAUAAUGCUUAAAGUAAGAAGUCCAGGCCGGUAUCACACGGACCGUGUUCCACGGACAUGUGAAUGCAGCCUAAUACAGAGCUUUUAAUAUUCUGUAUAGCCAUAAAUUUGAAAGAUAACAUGCUGGCUAUCUACAGCCACCACUAGAGGCUGCAUGGGAGCUUACUUCAAUCAAAAUAGUAUGGAUGGAGUUACUGAGCUCCCUCUAGUGGCGCCUGCUGGUAAUCUGCAUUUUGGGGGAGAUUUAUUAUCUCCCUUGCGCCAGCAAAGUGGCUUUAAAAAGUUGAAAGCUGUGUGUUUGCACCUUUUUAAAUGCAACUUUU